rnacentral:lncRNA from 1 species
AUGCCCAUUGGCCAAGCCUCCCGCACCUGCAAAGCACAAAGCCUGGUGCUGCGAGGAAAACAUCCCGCGAGGGAGGCGCGCAGCCUUCCGCCUGAAGACGUGGGACUGCACUUGCUCCCCCGCGAAGGGAGGGCCAGGCCGCGCCGGGACCACCCAUCGGCUGGCCAGCGUGCCCCCCACGGAGCCCAUAGCCCCGUGACGUUGAUGGGAAGCCCGACCUGCGGAGCAGCCGCGGGGGCCCGGACGUGGGCUGACCUGGCAGGCCCGGGCUUGAGAGAGGACAGGGGCCAAGCCCCCGGGGCCUUCCCACCCUCCGGUUCCCUGGCACCGGGUCCUGCUCCUCCUGCCUGGCCCCGGCCUCACUGCUCACACCGGUGCAGCCAGUCUGACCUCUCUUCUUCUGGGAUUCCCGUGCUUAGCGCACAAGAUGCCCCCUUCCCGCCGCCACCGCCCCUCUUGGCUCAGCCAAGCGGCUCUAGGUGCCCAGCUCUGCCUGAGAGCAAGGCCCGGGCCAGCCAGGCUUCCAGCACAGCCCACACCUUCCCUGGUCAACUGGGGGUCAACAACCCCAGCCCCCAGCACUCUGUAACUUUCCAUACGUGCCUCUGUGGGACUGCUGACCGUUCUGCAGCAGGGGUUCCUGGGCCACUGAAGGCCAUCUGGUGGCCCCAGGUUAAGGGGUCCUCUCUGGGAAGGACUUCCCAGAAGGACUAACUUCUUAGUCCUUCUAACCUGGCUACUGUUCUUACCAUGUAUUAAGCUCCUCAGAUGCCCUUUAUACUUUAUAAGCAAUAAUGAUUGUUAAUACAGGACACUUACUAUGUACUAGAUACUAUUGCAAAUGCAUUGUGGGUAUUAAUCCACUUACUCCUCACAGCAUCCCUGGAGGUUAAGGUGAUUAGAAUCUCCCCCCAUUUUACAGAUGAAAUUGAGGUCCAAAGAGGUUAAGGAGCUUUUCCAAAGUCUCAUUGUGGACUGAUACCCUCUCUAGCCAGCAGCUGGUUUUCUAGUUCAAUCUCCAGGCUCCCUCAAGGCCUGAAUCCAGAGCUUGGAUGCUCUGACCCUGAUCCAGGCAGCCAUAGAAUGAAAUGAAACCAAACAGCCGAAGGCGAGCUACCCCAGACAAGUGGCCAGCAGUAACUUCCGGGGACCCCAAGCCUUGCUGCAGCCUGUUUCCACAGAUGUCUUUUCUAUUGCCUCUGCCAAACCCAUUCGUCCUUCUGACCUAGGUGUUGCUUCCUCCAUGGAGCCUUCUUGGCAUCCACGAGUAGGCUGGAUGCCCUUUCCUGCCACCACUCCAUGUGGAGUGCUGGCUCCAUGUGGAGUGCUGGCUCCUAGAAGUUUCCCGUCCCAGCCCUUAUCACUCAGCCCUUAUCACUACAACUACCAAUCUACAUAGCUGCCUCCCUUCCAGACUGGAUGUUCCCAAGUGGGCAGGGAUCAUUAAAGUCUUACUUUGUUUUAAAUGAUUUUUUUGAAAAACAAUUAUUUUUAUUUUUGAAAUGAACAUACACUCAGGAAAGGUACAUAAAUCCUAAAUGUAGAGCUCGAUGAAUUUUUACAUACGCAACCACGCAUUCAGAUCAAAGCAGAACACAUGGGAAGUGCCCAGGAGGUUCCCUCGGUCCCCUCCCGGUUAUUAACCCCACCCCAGGAGUAACUGCUGGUUUCACACUGUCGCUAUAGUUCUGCCUUUUCUGAGACUUCAAAUAAAUGGAAUCACACAGUAAUACUUUUCUGUGUCUGGCUUCUCGUGCUCACGGUUACGUCUGUGAGAUUUCUUUCUUUUUUUUUUUUUUUUUUGUGAGAUUUCUUCAUGUUGCUGAAUGCCCCAGUGGUCUGUCCUUUUUACUGCUGUGCAGUAUUCCACUGAAUGAAUAUACCACAUUUCUGUGUCGACCAUAUUGUUGAUGAGCGCGUCAGCUAGGAAAAAGAACAUCUGGAACUCUCAUUCUCGCUAGGUGGGACAGUAAGUUGCUACCAUCACUAAGGAAAAGUCUGUGUCUAUCAUCGAUAACAAUGAUAUAUAUUGAUAUCUGUAAUACUAACAUAUGUUGUAUUUAUCAUUGUCCUAUAUCUCUCAUUUACUAAGCACUGAGUGUGCACCAAGCCCUGUAAGCUGUGUUACCCCAAUCCUCAUAAUCACCCUAAGAAGUAGAUAGUUGCCUUCUUUGAAAUAGCAGUAUGGUAGCAGCAACAUGAUGGGAUUAUCAUGAAGUUGAACACUCUGACGGACUGAGUCCAAAGCUGACGUUUUGGAAAUGCUGUUCGUGGUACCUCUUAUUGUUAUUACUGAAGGACACCGGGCCAGGAGCUCAGGAGCCUGCAUUCAUGUCUCCCUGAGAUAACCUGAGUGAGUCAUCUCAGCAGCCUUCAGCUCCAGGCCCCUGGAAGGCCGACAUCUGCUAGCAGGGACUUCCGGGGAUGACACAGGGCACACUCUUCAAUCAGACCCAGGCUCUCACUUCAAGAAGAUCCUUAUGCUUGGGGGGGGGGGGGGGGGGGGGGGGGGGGCGGAACAGUGCAUCAGGAAGGGUCUUGGGAGUGUUUGGGAGCCCUCUGCGACAUGGGGACCUGCGACAUGGGGACCUGCCGCUUCUGCCAAGUUUAGUUCACAAGGUACUUUCAGGUGAUGGUCUCGUUGUCCUGGAAGGUCCACAAGGACUUGGCGGCUGUAUGCUUCUCAACAACUCACCCACAGAGAUGAGCAAGUGUCUCCCUCCCCCACCCGCACCCCCACCCGCACCCGCACCCCGGGACUCUGCCAAGAGCUGGGGGCUGCAGCCCGGAACUCCCGGGAGGGAGAGGGACAGCGAGCGACCAGGGACACCCAGGAGCACGAGGCUUCUGGCGGCAAGUUGGGUGAAGGACACACAGCGGGGCAGGAGGUGGAGAGGAAGUGCGGGGGGCGGGGUGCUCCAGACUCCGUGUUCACCGGAGACCCUGAAGUUCUAGGGAGGGAAGAGCAGCCCCGAGGGCGAGUGCGCAGCGCAGGGCAGCUCCCGCCGAGGUGAGGGAGGACGUGGGGGAGGACGUGGGGCAGCGGCUGCGAGGGCACCGGGUGGGGCGGGGGUCCGCGGGCGACGGAGCUCCAGGGGAGCCCUGCAGCCCGGCCCGGGAGCCCGAC